ACAGGCUACGGAUUGACUGGGGAAAUAUUUGGGAAUUGACUUCCUUUCUCGUCGGCGGUGGAGACCUGUCCUUUCCUGUGGUUGUUUUUGAGGUUAACGGAUUUGGAAGGAGGUGCGGAGACUUUGACAGAGAAACAGAGAGGGCAUACUCUCAGCCUGCCGAAAACCGCUUCGCUUCGAUAUUGGAUACAUAUGGGGUUGUGAGUGAGUCUACAAGACGCAGCACCGACGGAUUACCUCUUGCCUGGUCAUCGUUUCCAAGGAGUUGAAACGGGAGUGGUGCUGGCGCCGGGGAUUUGUACUUAUUCUUUUACUCGCUCCGACUACUUGUGUGGAGGAAAUGGCAACGCCAGUGUUUGAGAGAGGACCCCAACUGGAAGAGAGAGGAAACCGGACCUGAAUGACAGGAUACAGCAGCCGACCUGAGACAUAUCCAGACACAUUUCAACUGCUUUAGUCAAGACACUUCUGCUUUAUUUGUUUUCUUUCGGCUCAAGCUUGAAAAUAAGGAAGAAUAACAGGACCUGAAAAACAUUGGGAGGAGUUUUAUUUCGUUUUUCGUUUUUCCUCAUUUUAUUUUGUUUCUAACAAAACAAGGAUGCAUUGUGGAUUAGUGCUGUUCCUCUUAAUGGGAAUCUUCUUCGUCGCUAAGGCUUUCAAAAAUGACAAGUGUGGGGACAACAUCAGAAUAACCAAUGCGAAUUACCUCACCUCGCCUGGGUAUCCGACAUCAUAUUUGCCAUCUCAGAAAUGCGUUUGGGUGAUAACAGCGCCUGGACCUCACCAAAGAAUUCUAAUCAACUUUAACCCGCAUUUUGAUCUCGAGGACAGAGAGUGCAAGUAAG